AUAAUAAAGCACCGCUUCACUGUUUCUCCUCUCUCAGUCUCACUCACUGAUGCGCGGGAAGUGACCCUCAGCCAGAGAGGAGGUGAUAUAGCCUCGACUACCGACGCAGCUCUGUUCGGCGCUCGGCAGCGGAUAUACAGUGAACAAAACACCUGUAGUCUGUACCCAACGGCCUCUUCUCGGUUCGUUCGUGAUCUGAUGAUCCAUGAGGACCUGAUUAUUUCAAGACUGCUGAACAUCACUCCAAUCUCUAGUCCGUCGCGUCGCCAUGUCAGUUUGGUGAACUUUACUCAAACGAGAGGAUAUAUAUAUAUAUAUACACAGCUGGAGUGUUGAAGGACGGUGGUGCCUGAUCUGAAGUUAGCCGUCUGUUCUGCGUAACUCGGGCUUUUAGAAAGGUGAGUUGAGGAGGAAGUAUUUUAAUAACAUAUUAGAUUUGGAUUCUAUUCACUUUUUCCAUUCUACAUAAAUCCGUCGAUGACGCACCCGGAUGAAAGUGAGUUACUGAUUCCUCAUUGUUCUUAGUUAUAUUUUAACCGUGAUUCUACACCUGCGUUGCUUUCUGUUUGGGGUUUUUAGGCUGGGGGUUUCUGUACAGCACUUUGUGACAUCAGCUGAUUGAUAUUGUUCUAGUCUAAUUAAAUGACGAUCUGCCUCUAUCCGGUAAUGACCUGUUAUCAUCUUGUUUGUUUCUUGAUGAUCUUUGUUUUUUUUUUUGGUAACAUUUCAUCACUAUAAAGCCAUGUUGUGGAUUUCAGAUGUGUUCUUUCGGGACGUGGCACCCCUUUUUCAGGUGUGUCUUUCCAAUGAGGUGAUGGCCAUUGUGGUCUACCUUUUUAAAAAAGGUAAUGAAAUAAUCUAGAUUUUUAUUUUAUUUUAGCUCGACAUAUGGAAGGACUGUUGUAAUAUGGACCGAUUGUUCUGAAAUGUAAACAACGUGAAAAAAAGAAAAAGGCAUUUGGGAUUUAUUUGAUUUGAUGAAUCUUUAUGAAAUAUGUCGGACAGAUGCCACUGGAUUCUCUUCGUCAUGCUGGUCUGAAAUAGCCUCAGACUCUCAUUACUAGUAGGGUUCUGUAUGUGCACUGAAAAACUACAUCCCGCUAAGAAAAAAGGGGUUUAGCAGAGAUCCACAACUGGCGGCCUGCGGGCCGAAUUUGGCCCUGGUAGUGAUUUUUAUUUCCCCCUCUCAUAAAAUUUUUCUAAACAAUUGUUGGACAUAAAUGACACACAAAAAAAAGCCACCAGGAAAUUAGCUCCAAGUAAUUUUAAUUUAGUAAAUCUGUUCCAAAGUCUUCCCAUGUAAAAUAGAGAGAGCGAGAGAUAUCUGAUCUAUACAAUUGUAAGGUUUGAUUUUUUAUUUUAUUUUGACAAAUGCUUUAAUCUGUUUUGGGUUUUCUUGCGGUCAAUUUACAGUCUACAAAUGAUUUGUAAUUAUAUUUCGGCUCCCUGAUCAUCCGCGCAAGACAACAUCGUCCUGUGGCUGAAUGUAGUUGAUGAUCCCUGGGGUAUAGACUGGCAGUACGAACGCAGAGCACGAUGGGUUUAUGUUAGGAGAUUAGGGCGCCACGAAGGGGGGAAGCAUAUGCCUUUGUCAUCUGCUGUCAUUUUGUUCGCUGCCUGUCACUCGCCAAGCACCCUGCGACUGUGUGCUGUGUGCUGCCUGGACGAUUUCAUUUCAUAGUCGAGCACUGUUGUGACAAACGCGGUUUUACAUCACCGUGUGGCGCUGGGUGAUAGCGGACCCGUGAUUCUCUCUCUCUCUCUCUCUCGCUCCUUUUUUUCCCCCAUUCUGUGUUUGUGCGCGCGGACGAGGUGGGAUUGUUACACAUAACAAAAGAUAGCCACCCUCGGUGAGAAAACGGAACGUGCGUGCAUACAGCUGGCUGAUUGCUCACUUGGCCAUAGAGAGAUAAUCCAUCCAUCGGGUGAAUUUAGGAUUCUGGGU
rnacentral:lncRNA from 13 species